GGUGGCGAAGAUAGUCAGUGGUGAAAGGCCUGGGCUCAACCCAGGAACUGCCAUUGAUACUGCUUUGCUAGAGUCCGGGAGAGGAUAGCGGAAUUUCCAGUGUAGAGGUGAAAUUCGUAGAUAUUGGAAAGAACACCAGUUGCGAAGGCGGCUAUCUGGACCGGUACUGACACUGAGGUGCGAAAGCGUGGGGAGCGAACAGGAUUAGAUACCCUGGUAGUCCACGCCGUAAACGAUGAGUGCUAGUUGUUGGGGUCUUAGACUUCAGUGACGUAGCUAACGCGUUAAGCACUCCGCCUGGGGAGUACGGCCGCAAGGUUAAAACUCAAAGGAAUUGACGGGGACCCGCACAAGUAGUGGAGCAUGUGGUUUAAUUCGAAGAUACGCGCAGAACCUUACCAACACUUGACAUGUUCGUCGCGAGCCUAAGAGAUUAGGCUUUUCAGUUCGGCUGGACGAAACACAGGUGCUGCAUGGCUGUCGUCAGCUCGUGUCAUGAGAUGUUGGGUUAAGUCCCGCAACGAGCGCAACCCCUACCUUUAGUUGCCACCAUUAAGUUGGGCACUUUAAAGGAACUGCCAGUGAUAAGCUGGAGGAAGGUGGGGAUGACGUCAAGUCCUCAUGGCCCUUACGUGUUGGGCUACACACGUGCUACAAUGACACUUACAGUGGGAAGCUAAGUCGCGAGAUUAAGAUAAUCCCCAAAAUGUGUCUCAGUUCGGAUUGCUUCUGUAACUCGAGUACAUGAA
rnacentral:rRNA from 1 species